GACGAACGCUGGCGGCGUGCUUAACACAUGCAAGUCGAACGCUGAAGCUCAGCUUUUGUUGGGUGGAUGAGUGGCGAACGGGUGAGUAACACGUGAGUAACCUGCCCCCUUCUUUGGGAUAACGCCCGGAAACGGGUGCUAAUACUGGAUAUUCACUGGUCUUCGCAUGGGGGUUGGUGGAAAGGGUUUUUCUGGUGGGGGAUGGGCUCGCGGCAUAUCAGCUUGUUGGUGGGGUGAUGGCCUACCAAGGCUUUGACGGGUAGCCGGCCUGAGAGGGUGACCGGUAACAUUGGGACUGAGAUACGGCCCAGACUCCUACGGGAGGCAGCAGUGGGGAAUAUUGCACAAUGGGCGCAAGCCUGAUGCAGCGACGCCGCGUGAGGGAUGGAGGCCUUCGGGUUGUGAACCUCUUUCGCUCAUGGUCAAGCCGCAACAAUGGUUGUGGUGAGGGUAGUGGGUAAAGAAGCGCCGGCUAACUACGUG
rnacentral:rRNA from 1 species